rnacentral:rRNA from 1 species
UACGGGGGGGGGCAAGCGUUGUUCGGAAUUACUGGGCGUAAAGGGCUCGUAGGCGGCCAACUAAGUCAGACGUGAAAUCCCUCGGCUUAACCGGGGAACUGCGUCUGAUACUGGAUGGCUUGAGUUCGGGAGAGGGAUGCGGAAUUCCAGGUGUAGCGGUGAAAUGCGUAGAUAUCUGGAGGAACACCGGUGGCGAAGGCGGGUCUCUGGGCCGUAACUGACGCUGAGGAGCGAAAGCGUGGGGAGCGAACAGG